AUGUGAAGUGGAGUUAAAACUGCAUAGUCACUGUCGGUUUUCAGUUGUUUAACAAAGGUGAAAUACCUAAAAGAAAAAUAAAGGUGUGGAUCAUUCUUUACACUCUGAAUGGACAGAAGAAUCUGCAGUUUGUCGCAUUUUACAAUUGAAUUGCAUCGUUUAAAAAUUGGAUGUGCAUUGACUCCAAAGCACGCCACAAAACCCUGCAGUACCAGAAGUCACACUGAUGACCACCUGAUGCUGGACGGCCAGUCGAGUUGCCUCCCUUUCCAUCUGCCCUAGCAGUCCCUCGCUUCCCAGGCAAUGACAGGCGCUGUUGCUGUGGUGAUGGAUGACUUUGUGUCGAGUGGCAGAGUUGGGAGGUCUUAGGUGAUACCACCUGUCGACGAAAUAAAGUGAGAACUGGGAAACGUCAGCCCGAGGCACGGCCCAAUCGAUCAGCGCUCCACUUCACCUGAUUGGUGGCUGCGGAGGAUGGGGCGAACCGAUCGCCAUGGCGAUAGUAGUGACAGGCAGCGGGCGGUGACACCACUGCUGUGACAGACCUUCAUUAGCCGUUGCCAUGGGAGACGGUGGGGUUUCUGGGCUUGAAGUGGAGGAGAGAAAAGCAAGGAAUCAUGAUGUAAAUAAAAUGCUCAUAAAGUGAUUAAAAUACCAGAUUUAACUUAAAGCUCAUACAUGAUUUGAGAGGGAUGCCACAUGAUGACCUAAUUAGGAUGCUCAAAUUCUUUCUUAUACACAUGCUCUGAUCAAAACAAUCCAGGCAGGAAAGCAGAUAAUGGAUCCUAAUGAGAAGGAGAUUUUCUCACUGUUUCUUGAGUGUUUGGUUUAAAUAACAUUUGCUGUCUGUUGUGGGCUUUGAUGAGCUGUGACAGUGUGUUAAUUUGUAUCUCUCCUGCACCUGCACUGUGAGUAUGUGGAAGUGUGUUUCUCCAUGUGGGUGUUUGUGUUGUGAGUAGUUGCUUACCAGUGACUCUUAUUGAUAAGGAAUGAAUGGCAGUAAUUAGGAUAGGAAGGAUAGCUAAUUGCAUGUGAGGGUUCAGGGUAAACUCUACGUGUGAAUGGCCUCUUGAGCUAGUGAACAUUCCCAGCCUGUAGAAAGUGGAAUGCAUGAAUAGGCUAUAUUAAUUAACAACUGCUUGUUUCAACAGCCUUUUUCUAUGUGCCAGCCUAUUAUGUGGUUCCUCAUCAUUUUAACUUUCAUUUAUAAAAAACACUUCCAGUUAAUGAUGGACACUGACAGGAAAACAAUAGUAACAAAUAUAUGACAAGCAAAGCAGCUUUUGUUUUGAAAAUAGUGUCAAGUGUGCAGUUUAAGUGAUGGCACAGCUCAGCUAAAGAUAAAAAAAGUACAUCUGUUUCCUUUAUGAUAAUUACGUCAAUCGUGGGAGAAAACUACUAAACCACCUAAAAAGAAAAGCAGCAUACAUUUUGUUGCAGGUCGUGGAUAAUCUAGUCUCAAAGAGACAAAUAUUUAAGUGUCAUCCACGUUCACUGUCAGAAAAAAAGGUACGGUGCUUGUCACUGGGGCAGUAACCUAAGGUACAAAAGUGAAAAGGUACAUCUUUGUACCUUACUUACCCCUAAAUGGUGCAUAUUAGUACCUUAAAGGUACAUAUUAGUACUUUAAAAGUGCAUAUUUGUACCUUAAAGGUACAUAUUAGUACCUUUU